rnacentral:tRNA from 1 species
GGCACCGUGGCAGAGUGGUUAAUGCGUAAGACUUGAAAUCUUAUCCCUUAGGGGUCGCGCGUUCGAAUCGCGUCGGUGUCGCUA